rnacentral:rRNA from 1 species
UACAGAGGUCUCAAGCGUUGUUCGGAUUCAUUGGGCGUAAAGGGUGCGUAGGUGGCGCCGUAAGUCGGGUGUGAAAUUUCGGAGCUUAACUCCGAAACUGCAUUCGAUACUGCGGUGCUUGAGGACUGGAGAGGAGACUGGAAUUCAUGGUGUAGCAGUGAGAUGCGUAGAGAUCAUGAGGAAGACCAGUGGCGAAGGCGGGUCUCUGGACAGUUCCUGACACUGAGGCACGAAGGCCAGGGGAGCAAACGGG